rnacentral:lncRNA from 1 species
CCCAUCUUUAGUAUGCUCUGGACUAUAAGAACCUGCAAUUAGUCUAGAAUAGUUGGGGUUUGCCAAAUACAGAAGAAGAUGGGCUAAAAUUAGACUGGUUUGCUAUUACUAUGACAAAUCACAUGGGUGUCUGGAGGGCAUGGGAAACACCUUCAUUUUUCUCUACUGGCUCUGCCAAACAAAGUGCAAGCUCAUAGGAGGGGCAAAUAUGCUGCUUUGUGAGUCUGAUGAAAUGACCUUCAGGAUAGACAAGAAACCUCUCCUUUUGAGCAACAUUUUUCUUCUAUUCAUAACACAACAGAACAUGGUGAAUGUGUUUGAUCUCAAAUGAGACAGGCCACCUAUUUUUGGUAGGUCUUGUUUGCUUAUGACUUGUCAUAUUGUUAUGCAUUUACUUGCAUUGUUUCCAUAUAGUAUCCAGUGGUUUCUGGUUGCUUCAUAUAAUGUUUUGUACUUUAGAAAUUCUUGGUUAUGCUAUGAAGUCUAUGUUAGUUCCAUUUAUUUCACUCUUAUGGCAAAAAUGAACUUUAUCUGGGCAAUCCACACUCAUACAUGAACUUUAUCUAAUUAAUGAACUUUAUCUUCCAGAAGUCAGGUAUUCCAGUACAUCGAAGAGCUUGAAAAGAAGGUGGCUGCCGUGGCUGGGCAGAUCAAGGACCUCCUAAAAAAGGUGGUUGCCAUGUCUGGGCAGAUCAAGGACCUUCAAAAGAAGGUGGAUGCUGAGCCCUAGAAGCUUAACAACAAGUGAUGUUUUAGGGAGCAGUGAUACCUAUACCCUGUCUGCAUGUUAACUAAGUCAAGUUUGGUGAUUUAAACGUCAGCUUUAUUUAAACGUCAGCUCUAUCAAAAAAGCGUUCUUUGUCUGAUAUAAACGUCAGCUCUAUCUAUCAGUAUACUGGAGAUUGUUUGUAGUCAACUUUGUUAUCUUUAUGUGUCUGAUAUAAACGUCAGCCCUAUUAUCUUGAGCUGCAAGUGUUCCAGGUCCGUGGACAUGUAUUAGAUUACUGAUUCUGAGAAAUGUGUUUGUUUUGAAUGGAAAAUUGUGUUGCUCCCAUCAGCAUUUCCUAAGUUAACUAGGCCAAAAUCAAUAACCCUCGACGAGACAGGUGGUCAAAGUGUUGCUAUGUAUAUUUGUAAAAACAAUGGGUAUUUUGGAUUGGAGUAUACUCUUUGCAGUUUGCACACUGGUCCAUCAUGUGAAUUGUAAUCUCAGGCAGUCGGGCUAAAAUUCAAUUCCUAGAAAGUAUGUAGAACACUUUUUUGAUAAGAGAAGAAGAGUCACACCAU